CCUGAGAAACCCAAAAGAUCGAAUGGGGAGAUUCAUCGUCAGCGAUCCUGGCACGUGUGCGGUUCGUGAUGCCGGAGACUUCGGUCUCGCGGCACACGUCCGCAUGGUUUUAUUGCCGGGUGUCGUCGGCGUGCACUUCUCCCCUAGUAGGACGUCGCGACCCGUUGGGUGUCGGUCUACGGCCCGGGUGGGCGCCUGUCGUGUGUUACGCCUCACGGCGUCAUGUGGCAGACCCCCGGUUGUCUGACCAGCUGCCCGGCGGUACUCGCACGGUAUCGGGCCGCAAAUAUUCGAACUGCGUCCGGCCCGCCGCAAGCGAGGCCAGUGUUUCCCGGAUGUACGGACCUAGCGCCGUCACCGGGCCUGGCCAGCUGUUGGUUGGCGGUGUCCUGGGACUGGCUCUAAAUUAUGAUACCGGUCGGCGACGCUACUGCUUUGGGUACUUUCAGGA
rnacentral:rRNA from 1 species